GUAAAAUCUGAAACACAAAACCAAUGGACUCCAAAUGUUAAAUAAACAACAUCUUUGAGAAGGACCUCCAGGUUUCCCAGGACCACCUGGCUUACCUGGUCAAACUGGAUAUCCAGGUCCAGAAGGACUCCCUGGAGAAAAAGGAGAGAAAGGUGAUCCUGGACCAGUAGGUUCAAGAGGAUUGAAAGGAGAUAGGGGGAAAAUGGGAAUGCCUGGCUACCCAGGGAUCCCUGGACAUCCAGGACAGCAAGGCCCACCUGGAGAGAAAGGUGUUCCAGGAUUAGAUGGAUGCAAUGGAACGGAUGGGGCUCCAGGUAUUCCUGGUCCACCAGGAUUUCAGGGUCCUAGAGGCCCAAUAGGUCCACCUGGACCAAAAGGAGAAAAAGGAGAACCAGCAUUUGGACGUCCUGGUUUAAAAGGGCAGAAAGGAGAACCAGGAAGACAUGGUCAACCAGG
rnacentral:lncRNA from 1 species